AAUAACUCAAGUAAGAGCACACAGGUGGAUGCCUUGGCACUAAGGCCGAUGAAAGACGUGGUAACCUGCGAUAAGCUCCGGGGAGCUGGCUACAAGCGACGAUCCGGAGGUUUCUGAAUGGGGCAACCCGACUGGACUAAAUCCAGUCAUCCUCGAGUGAAAAAGAUAGCUCGAGCGAAGGGCACGCGGGGAACUGAAACAUCUAAGUACCCGCAGGAAAGGACAUCAACCGAGACUCCGCUAGUAGUGGCGAGCGAACGCGGAAGAGCCUAAACCAACGCAGCGUGAUUCACGCCAGUGUUAGCUGCGAUGGGGUCGUAGGAAUGCGCUUCUUCGAUCUGGCGGUCGAAGCGGAAGUUACAAAAUCGGACGUUAGCGGAACCGACCUGGAAAGGUUGGCCAUAGAGAGUGAUAGCCUCGUACGCGAAAACAUACCGAUCUUCCGUGCGCGUUUCCUGAGUACCGCGGGGCACGAGAAACCCUGUGGGAAUCUGGGUGGACCAUCAUCCAAGGCUAAGUAUUCCUUAGUGACCGAUAGUGAACCAGUACCGUGAGGGAAAGGCGAAAAGAACCCCGGGAGGGGAGUGAAAGAGAACCUGAAACCGUGUGCUUACAAACCGUGAAAGGGCUAUGUCGCCGCUGGGCAACCAGUAGCGAAACGCCUAAUUGCGUGCCUUUUGUGUAAUGAUCCGGCGAGUUAAUGGUGCAGGCAAGGUUAAGGGCAUGAAACCCGGAGCCGUAGCGAAAGCGAGUCUGAAAUGGGCGACACAAGUCUGUAUCAUUAGACCCGAAACUGGGUGAUCUAUCCAUGGCCAGGCUGAAGCGCAACUAAACUUGCGUGAAGGGCCGAACCUGUCGUUGUUGCAAAAACGUUGGAUGAGCUGUGGAUAGGGGUGAAAAGCCAAUCGAACCCAGAGAUAGCUGGUUCUCCCCGAAAUAGUUCUAGGGCUAGCCUCGGAAUUUAACCCGUAGGGGUAGAGCACUGACAGGGCUAGGGGCCUUACCAGGUUACUGAACCCCAUCAAACUCCGAAUACUACGGCGUAUACUCCGGGAGUCAGACAGUGGGGGAUAAGCUCCAUUGUCGAGAGGCAAACAGGCCAGAUCGUCAGCUAAGGUCCCCAAGACAUGGCUAAGUGGGAAAGGAAGUAGGACCGCAAUAACAACCAGGAGGUUGGCUUAGAAGCAGCCACCCUUGAAAGAGUGCGUAAUAGCUCACUGGUCGAGUGGUUCUGCGCCGAAAACGUAACGGGGCUCAAGCCAUGCACCGAAGCUACGGGUUUAACGGCGCGCAAGCGCCACGUUAAGCGGUAGGGGAGCGUUCUGUGAUAGGCUGAAGCGCGACCGUAAGGACGCGUGGACGAAACAGAAGUGCGAAUGCCGGAAUUAGUAGCGUAAAGUGGGGUGGGAAACCCCACCGCCGAAAGUCUAAGGUUUCCUGGGCGCUGUUUAUCAUCUCAGGGUUAGUCGGGACCUAAGCCGAGGCUGAGAAGCGUAGGCGAUGGACAAGCCGUUCAUAUUCGGCUACCACCGAUCCCGUUUGAUUCUCGCUUUAAUGUAGCCACGGGCCGCAAGGUCCGUAGUUGCCUUAAGGUUUGAAUCGUGAAGCGAAGGCGUGACGCAGGAAGUUAAUCCAGCACCCUAUCGGAUGGGUGUUUAAGCAAGUAGGGUGGGUUAUAGAUAAAUCCGUGACCCGGCGCGAGCCAAAGCCCGAGAUGCGAUGACGAGCCAAAGUAAUGCGGCGAAGUGGAUGAGACUCAACUGCCAAGAAAAGCGUCUAGCAAGGGUCAUUGGUGCCCGUACCGCAGUCCGACACCGGUAGACUGGCAGAGCAUGCCAAGGCGACGAGAGAACCCCUGUUAAGGAACUCGGCAAAUUAGCCCCGUAACUUCGGGAAAAGGGGUGCCCUAGUAGCGUACACGCACUUGCUGUGGUGGCGCGAAAGGGUCGCAGUGAAUAGGCCCAAGCGACUGUUUAACAAAAACACAGGUCUCUGCAAAAGCGAAAGCUGACGUAUAGGGGCUGACGCCUGCCCGGUGCUGGAAGGUUAAAAGGAGAUGUUAGCUGCAAGGCGAGGCAUUGAAUUGAAGCCCCAGUAAACGGCGGCCGUAACUAU
rnacentral:rRNA from 1 species